CCCGCCCGUGAGACGCAUCUGGAGGAGAGUGUUCACAGCGGCUGAGGUCUCAUUGGGUUCCUAGCCCCUGCUCACCGCCCUGCUGGCCGGGGCAUUCUGGCACCCGAGCGUGGGGCAAAGAAGCCUUCUGGACCUAGAAACUCGCUGAUCGAGGGGGUAGGCCUACCCGAAUUCACUGAGUCACCACGGCCAAGGGGGUAACGCAAAGACUCGCAGAGAUCACCAUGGAGAUACCCGACCGUGAGACGCAUCUGGAGGAGAGUGUUCACAGCGGCUGAGAAAAACAACUCAACAAUUUGAAGAUGGCUCCAAAGAAGUCCAGCCGUGUGAUACUUCCUUGUCUUCUCUACUUGCCCCUAUUAUUGGCCAUUCCCACACAUGCAGCUCUUGUUUAUCAGUGGGAAUUUCAGGUUAGAGAGACACAAACUAAGGACUCACACACCACAGUCUGAAACAUUGGCAUGG